AGUGAACGCUGGCGGUAGACCUAACACAUGCAAGUCGAACGGCAGCACAGUAAGAGCUUGCUCUUACGGGUGGCGAGUGGCGGACGGGUGAGGAAUACAUCGGAAUCUACUUUUUCGUGGGGGAUAACGUAGGGAAACUUACGCUAAUACCGCAUACGACCUACGGGUGAAAGCAGGGGAUCUUCGGACCUUGCGCGAUUGAAUGAGCCGAUGUCGGAUUAGCUAGUUGGCGGGGUAAAGGCCCACCAAGGCGACGAUCCGUAGCUGGUCUGAGAGGAUGAUCAGCCACACUGGAACUGAGACGCGGUCCAGACUCCUACGGGAGGCAGCAGUGGGGAAUAUUGGACAAUGGGCGCAAGCCUGAUCCAGCCAUACCGCGUGGGUGAAGAAGGCCUUCGGGUUGUAAAGCCCUUUUGUUGGGAAAGAAAAGCAGCAGGUUAAUACCCCGCUGUUCUGACGGUACCCAAAGAAUAAGCACCGGCUAACUUCGUG
rnacentral:rRNA from 1 species